rnacentral:rRNA from 1 species
UACGGGGGGAGCAAGCGUUGUUCGGAAUCACUGGGCGUAAAGGGCGUGUAGGCGGUUCGGUAAGUGGAAUGUGAAAUCCCCGGGCUUAACCUGGGAAUGGCAUUUGGGACUGCAGGGCUGGAGUGCGGCAGAGGAGACUGGAAUUCCUGGUGUAGCAGUGAAAUGCGUAGAUAUCAGGAAGAACACCCGUGGCGAAGGCGGUUCUCUGGGACGGUACUGACGCUGAGACGCGAAAGCGUGGGGAGCGAACAGG